rnacentral:snoRNA from 1 species
AGUCUCCAGAUUCUUUCUCCACCUUCAGAUCGAUACGUUGGUCUGAGUGGGCGAAUAGGUGGAAAAGUAAAACGGAAGUAGACUUGGAAUCUUUAGUGACACACAGUUCAUUUCAAAGAAAC